rnacentral:rRNA from 1 species
AGAGUUUGAUCCUGGCUCAGAAUCAACGCUGGCGGCGCGCUUAACACAUGCAAGUCGCACGAGAAAGGGAGCAAUCCUGAGUAAAGUGGCGUACGGGUGAGUAACACGUGGAUCAUCUACCUUUUGGCGGGGAAUACCUCCUGGAAACGGGAGACAAUACCGCAUAAGCUCGAAAGAGGAAAGCAGCAAUGCACCGAAAGAGGAGUCCGCGGCAGAUUAGCUAGAUGGUGAGGUAAUGGCUCACCAUGGCGAAGAUCUGUAGCCGGCCUGAGAGGGCUCACGGCCACACUGGCGCUGAAACACGGGCCAGACUCCUACGGGAGGCAGCAGUGGGGAAUCUUGCACAAUGGAGGAAACUCUGAUGCAGCGACGCCGCGUGAGUGAUGAAGCCCUUCGGGGUGUAAAGCUCUUUCGACAGGAACGAUAAUGACGGUACCUGAAGAAGAAGCUGCGGCUAACUACGUGCCAGCAGCCGCGGUAAUACGUAGGCAGCAAGCGUUGUUCGGAAUUACUGGGCGUAAAGAGUGUGUAGGCGGUGCUCUAAGUUUGGUGUGAAAUCUCCCGGCUUAACCGGGAGGCUGCAUCGAAUACUGGAAUGCUAGAGGAUGGGAGAGGUAAGCGGAAUUCCUGGUGUAGCGGUGAAAUGCGUANAUAUCAGGAGGAACACCUGUGGUGUAU